CAGUCGCCGCGGUAAUACGUAGGUGGCAAGCGUUGUCCGGAAUUAUUGGGCGUAAAGGGCUCGCAGGCGGUUUCUUAAGUCUGAUGUGAAAGCCCCCGGCUCAACCGGGGAGGGUCAUUGGAAACUGGGAAACUUGAGUGCAGAAGAGGAGAGUGGAAUUCCACGUGUAGCGGUGAAAUGCGUAGAGAUGUGGAGGAACAUCAGUGGCGAAGGCGACUCUCUGGUCUGUAACUGACGCUGAGGAGCGAAAGCGUGGGGAGCGAACAGGAUUAGAUACCCCCGUAGUCCCUGUCUCUUAUAU
rnacentral:rRNA from 1 species